rnacentral:rRNA from 1 species
AUGCUUGGGGAGGUGAUCUGCUGCAGGCGGCAGCGGCGAUCUACUGGAAGCCCGCCCGCCAUGCCUCAAAGCCCCGGCGGCGACCAACGAUUCAAAUUUCGCUGUGUUUUGCUUUGUAUUUUGGAACAGGAUAAACAUGUCAUUUUGCUGGUUUUUGGAGCUGGUCAGAAAAAGCUAAAACAGCAUAACACGAAACAGAGGGAGUAUUAUAUAUAUAACUAUAAUAAAGGACGGGUGAUAAGACUUGUGGACACCUUACAAAUGAUUUUUUUUAGUUUAUUUCCAGAAGGAAGUAGAAUUCAUGAUGAAAAGACACAUGGCCAAAAAGACAGUCAAAACUAUGAGCGAGCCAGAUAG